UAGGGAAUCUUCCGCAAUGGGCGAAAGCCUGACGGAGCAACGCCGCGUGAGUGAUGAAGGCCUUCGGGUUGUAAAACUCUGUCUUCUGUGAAGAACCAUCCUGUGCAGAGAAAGCUCAGGACCUGACGGUAACAGAGGAGGAAGCCCCGGCUAACUACGUGCCAGCAGCCGCGGUAAUACGUAGGGGGCAAGCGUUGUCCGGAAUCACUGGGCGUAAAGCGCGCGCAGGCGGUCUUUCACGUCCGGGGUGAAAGCCCAGAGCUCAACUCUGGGAUUGCCUUGGAUACGGGGAGACUUGAGGAUCGGAGAGGCAAGGGGAAUUCCACGUGUAGCGGUGAAAUGCGUAGAGAUGUGGAGGAACACCUGUGGCGAAGGCGCCUUGCUGGCCGAUUUCUGACGCUGAGGCGCGAAAGCGUGGGGAGCAAACA
rnacentral:rRNA from 2 species